GGAUACGGCCAUACUGCGCAGAAAACACCGCUUCCCAUCCGAACAGCGAAGUUACGCUGCGCCAGGCGGUGUUAGUACUGGGGUGGGCGACCACCCGGGAAUCCACCGUGCCGUAUCCUCCU
rnacentral:rRNA from 1 species